rnacentral:lncRNA from 1 species
GGACUGCAGACUGUGCCCCCUUGCUCUAAGAAGGCUUAAUCACAGCUCCCUCAAUGAAUAACUUCAUUGAAUUUGCAAUAUCUCUGCAAACUGAUCUCUGAAUCAGCAUGGCACAGUUAAGCCAGUUCUAGCAAAUUUGGAACUGUAUCUUAAAGAACUGUCUCACCUUACCACCCACAGGCUCUCAGCUCCUGAGAGCAGAAACCAAGUGUUGCUUGUCUUUGUGCAUCUAGCACAGAACCUGCCCAAAGCAGGUGCUCAGCAAGUAUUUGCUGAGCGGAACUGUCCUCAACUACCUAAUGGAAAAAGAGAAGAAAGGCAUUUCUUCACUGGACUGGCAAGUAGAAAUGAAUUCAGCCUUACCUGAAAUAGACACACAAACUCCCAGAGGCGGACCAGCGCACCUCUGAGGGUAUGGUUUCUGACCGGUCACUUGGGAGCAUCAUGCCCCUCACCCACAGGCUCAAUUCCAUCUCUGUUUUUGAACAUCGUGGUCCAAGUUCUGUCUCCUCUCAUAAUGUAAGAAACAGAUCCAUGUCUAGUUAUUUUGAGUCAAUGGAAGAUAUUUAAAAUAUUGAUACUUUAAAAGUUUAAAUGAAAUGUUAAUCAAAGGUGGUUUGUGAUGAUUUGCU